rnacentral:rRNA from 1 species
UCGAACGCGAAAGGCCCCUUCGGGGGCCGAGUAGAGUGGCGUCCGGGUGAGUAACACGUAGGUAAUCUACCUCUGGGUGGGGAAUAACAGCCGGAAACGGCUGCUAAUACCGCAUAAUGCAGCGGCACCACAUGGUGACAGUUGUUAAAGCGGGGGAUCGUAAGACCUCGCGUCUAAAGAGGAGCCUGCGGCGGAUUAGCUAGUUGGUAAGGUAAUGGCUUACCAAGGCGACGAUCCGUAACCGGCCUGAGAGGGCGGUCGGUCACACUGACACUGACAUACGGGUCAGACUCCUACGGGAGGCAGCAGUCGGGAAUUUUGGGCAAUGGGCGAAAGCCUGACCCAGCAACGCCGCGUGAAGGAUGAAAUCCCUCGGGAUGUAAACUUCGCAAGAACGGGAAGAAUAAGCCGGUGCAAAUAUCACCGGCGAUGACGGUACCGUUUGUAAGCUCCGGCUAACUCCGUGCCAGCAGCCGCGGUAAUACGGGGGGAGCAAGCGUUG